UCGCAGCGCCGACACACGGGUUUGCUUCGACCCACCCCUUGCCUCUGCCACCCCCCCAGUCAGCCAGUCUACCCCGUGCUUUCUAGGGGAGCGCACACACAUACAGUGACAACGCGCCGCUUUGGACAACUCUCAGCUGUGCCAGAAACACGGUUAGGUUAGGUUGAAACUGUUUCUGGUAAAGACGCCAAGAUGGCGGCUGUAACAUCGCCACUCUUAGUAUUGCUCCUUCAAGCAGUGGUGUCGAUGGUAACAUCACAAAACCCCGAACCUCGCCCCACAGCACACCUCGUGGCAGCCGAUGUAAGUGCACGACGAGCCGUGGAAUGGCUUCUGAAACAAAGGUUAGAAGACUGGGGUUGGGGUAGCGACACCCCGAGAGCUGUCCUUGCUCUCCAACUUGCUAACAUAUCACCGUGGUUUGUACCCGACAACCUUGAGAGUCAGCUGUCAGGCAAGCAGAUGGAACUGGAAAUCCUGCUGCAUCUUUGGCGGCAUCACGACUCAGCGAUGACUCCAGGUCGACUGGCACAGUACACUCUUGCACUGAACGCGAUGUGUCGAGAUCCAAGGCAGUUUCAUGGCCAUGACCUCAUCGGAUCACUUCAACAUCAUGAGCCAGAACUGGAUUUUGAAUUUGCAUUCUCAUCUUUAGCUGUUUGCAGCUCGGGUGCACACGUCAGGAAACGACAAAUAAAACGUCUUAUGGACAUCGCCGAUAGAGCAAGCGAUCACAAUGUUGAUACGCUUUCCAUGGUAUUGCUGGCACUCAGCUGUAUCACGCGCGAUCACCGGAACCGGAAUCUGGAUCAUUACGUGAAGAAGCCAAGUUCUGGGCUGGCUGAGGAGCAGCGUGUGGAUGGCAGUUUUGGUAAUCUGCACAGCACGGCACUGGCGGUACAGGCUUUGGAGAUCGCGGAUGCCGAGUUAUCAAGCAAUGGUGGUAACAGUGGCCCUGUUAAUUGGAAUCGCAGCAGUGCUAUAAACUACAUGAUUUCGCAUCAGGCACCUGAUGGUUCGUUUGGUGACGUGUUCAGUACUACUGAAGUCGUACUUGGCUUAGGCUCACAUCAUCUGAACUCCAUCAGGGAUCUCAACUGUACUGGCAGCAAUACAGGUGCUGCUUUCGCUGCUAGUGUUCCCAGACUUCGCCCACCUACGGCAACAAUGCUGUCCCCUACCGCCGUGGCCAACGCAGACUUGAAUUUGACAGUGGAAGGCACAACGCCUCGAGAAAAUCCAAAAGGAGAGGAAUUUGUGACUGUGACAUACACAUUAUGGGUCGGAACAAAUGUGACAGAGAACUUCACCAUCACCGUGAUGGCCGAGAAAAAUUCAAGUUUCUAUCGUGUAAUGCAGAUCGCUGCAGAGCAGGAUGCUCAUUACCUAUUUGAGGCAACUGAGUGGCCCAACGGACAUUACGUGCACACCAUAGCAGGCUAUAAGGAGGAGCCGUCAUGUUACCAUUACUGGCUGCUGUACCAGGUACCAACCCUGCCUGAACCUGCCAGCCCCCCAGGAAACAAUCUCGUGACGCCUGUCGGUUUUCCAGCCAAUAUUCUGUGCACCUUUCUUGUCUCCCACUCUGUCUAGCUGCACAUUCUGCCCAUCAUGAACUUCAUUUGACCACUCUAAGAGUUCAAGGAGUUGAUGGCUUAGUUGUUGAAGAUGGCGAUCACUACCUUUUCUGGUACAAGAAGCUCUGAGUGCCACAAGAUGCGAUGUACACGACUGUACAAUGACCAUUUUCCUUUUCAGACCAAUACGUAUUCCGGCGUAACUUACUGAGAUAAAAUUGUAAGUGUGACCUAUAAACGCUGAACAACCUGCGACAUAUUAAACAGAAGGUGUACAGUUCUAACUUAACACAUAAUCCUUUAAAACUGACUGAGAAUUUGUAUUCAGCUUUAUUCUGCUUCUUGUAAUUCAUGAACCAAUUCCAUUUCCAUCUGGGUUGAAGAUGUUCACAUUUCUCUAUGACUUUUUUAAUAUUAUACUUUUUAUUACUACUCGUCCUUAACAGCACUUCUUGUUUUUGAAUUACUGAAGAAUUACAGAGUAAUUAAAUUACAGUAAUUAUUGGUAAAUCAAGUUUGUUUGCAAAGAUGGCUGCCAGGUGUAGUCUGAUACAAGUUUACUGAUGUUUUAGAAGUACUUGCUGCCUCCAUCAUCAGGGCAAUCUGAUACUGG